AUUGAACGCUGGCGGCAGGCCUAACACAUGCAAGUCGAACGAGUGGCGGACGGGUGAGUAAUGUCUGGGAAACUGCCUGAUGGAGGGGGAUAACUACUGGAAACGGUAGCUAAUACCGCAUACCAUCGGAUGUGCCCAGAUGGGAUUAGCUAGUAGGUGGGGUAAAGGCUCACCUAGGCGACGAUCCCUAGCUGGUCUGCGAGGAUGACCAGCAACACUGGAACUGAGACACGGUCCAGACUCCUACGGGAGGCAGCAGUGGGGAAUAUUGAACAAUGGGCGCAAGCCUGAUGCAGCCAUGCCGCGGGUAUGAAGAAGGCCUUCGGGUUGUAAAGUACUUUCAGCGGGGAGGCGUUACCCGCAGAAGAAGCACCGACUAACUACGUGCCAGCAGCCGCGGUAAUAC
rnacentral:rRNA from 1 species